UACGGAGGGGGCUAGCGUUGUUCGGAAUUACUGGGCGUAAAGGGCGCGUAGGCGGCGCGGUAAGUCACUUGUGAAAUCUCUGAGCUUAACUCAGAACGGCCAAGUGAUACUGCAGUGCUAGAGUGCAGAAAGGGCAAUCGGAAUUCUUGGUGUAGCGGUGAAAUGCGUAGAUAUCAAGAGGAACACCUGAGGCGAAGGCGGGUUGCUAGGCUGACACUGACGCUGAGGCGCGAAAGCCAGGGGAGCAAACGGG
rnacentral:rRNA from 1 species